GACGAACGCUGGCGGCGUGCUUAACACAUGCAAGUCGAACGGAAAGGCCCUGCUUUUGUGGGGUGCUCGAGUGGCGAACGGGUGAGUAACACGUGAGUAACCUGCCCUUGACUUUGGGAUAACUUCAGGAAACUGGGGCUAAUACCGGAUAGGAGCUCCUGCUGCAUGGUGGGGGUUGGAAAGUUUCGGCGGUUGGGGAUGGACUCGCGGCUUAUCAGCUUGUUGGUGGAGUAGUGGCUUACCAAGGCUUUGACGGGUAGCCGGCCUGAGAGGGUGACCGGCCACAUCGGGCCUGAGAUACGGCCCAGACUCCUACGGGAGGGAGCAGUGGGAAAAAUUGCAAAAUAGGCGCAGGCAUGAUGCAACAGCGCCGCGUGCGGAAUAACGGCCUACGGGUUGUAAACCGCUUUCGCCUGAGAGAAAGCGUGAGUGACGGUAAUGGGUAAAGAAGCACCGGCUAACUACGUG
rnacentral:rRNA from 1 species